rnacentral:misc_RNA from 1 species
UGCAAGCAACCACAAUCAAUGUGGAACUGUGAAAGAAACGCAGGAGGGAAAUGGCGUCCCUUAUCUCCUUAAACAGCUAUAAACCCGUCUGUGCCAGGGCAAUUGUGCCUCAAUCUCAGAAAGCUGAUUUCAAUUCUCUGAAAUCUCCCUCCAUAACUGUAAACCAGAGCCGGAUCUUUUCCAUUUCCAUUAGAACCCCAAGGGCAAGGCGUUGCAUCUCUGUCGUCGUUAAUAAAUCGGGCACAGACUCUCACCAAAACAAUCAACAAGAUGAGGAAGCCAACAAUUUAGGAGUUAAAGCUGCAUUAUCCAUGCUGAGAUUCUACAAAAGGGAAAUCUCGCCUUUGUUGCCAAAAAGCUGUCGAUAUGUUCCAACAUGCAGUGAGUAUUCGAUGAUAGCUUACAAGAAGUAUGGUGUUGUCAAGGGCACCAUCUUGACCGGCUGGCGUCUCUGUCGCUGUAAUCCCCUUGGUAAACCUGUUUUUCUUUUCUAAAUGUUUUCUUCGUUCUUUGUUAUUUUUGGUUAAGACAUUUUGUUUCUUUAGGCGGCUCUGGUUUUGAUCCUCCACGAUGGUUUGAUGAGCAAAUUCCACCUGAAGAUGAUGAGAUAUCAUAAUCUUUUCAGUACUCAGAGUUUCGGCUGCCCAGCUUACAGGUUCUUUUCCUUUACUUUAGGGUUUAUUGGUUCAGCUUCCUGUUCAUAGUUGAUUUUAUUGUAGAUGUAUAUAAAGUGAAAGAUUUUCAAUAUUUCACAUUAUUCGAAAAAAAAAAACCUUGAAGAGUAAAGUAUAAAAUAAGAAAAAAAAAAAUGAAUGUUCAAUAUCUCCAUUACUUGAAUGAUAUCAGCUUCUUUUAUUUUUUAUUAGGUUUACAUUUUUAUUGACCACAAAUCCCAACGCUCAGGUCAGAACCUGGUUUUUACUAGAAAUCUCCUAAUGUAGAUGAUAGAGGAAGACCAAAGAGGUUUAUAAUAUAUUUGGUUUGAUUUAUAAAUCUGUCAAAUAAAAUUAUAAAUAAAAUUAUAAAUAAAUUAAUAUUUAAUUUGAUUUAUAAAUUAAAAAUUUUACUUUAAAUAAGUAAAAUCAAACGUCCUUUUACUCUAGCUGAAGCUAUGCUUUAAUUGACAGUUUGAUUGCCCGAACGCAGAAUAGAGUCCUCCAAAGAAUUAAAACCAAAGUUGAUAGUGUCAUUUUUCAAGUGCACAAAAUUGAUACUAAAUUUUGUGGCCAUGUACAUGAUAUUCAACUGUGAUGUUUUUGACUUCAGGCUCAAAUUUAAGAGAUAUCAAGAAUUGAUGAAAAAGGUAGCUACUAAAAACUUUGAUCCUCCUUUUAUUCAAAAGGAAGUUGAAAUUAGUAAACUAAAGUCUCAAUUAGUAGAUAGCUAAAAGGGAUCUCAAAAUCAAGCAAUUUUGUGAUGCAUUUUUCCUUGUGAAGCCAUGAAUGUUACCUUAUUUCCUAGCAAGUAGGGCUUAGCAAUAUUCAGUUCAAAUAGAAUUAAUUUGGUUCAAUUUAUACAAAAUUUCGGUUCGGUUUAAUUUUGAUUUUUGAAAAAUUUCGAUUAUUUUGUUUCGGUUAAAUUUUAAAGUAAAAAAAAAUUCAGUUGAACCGAAUUGAAACUCUUUGUAUAUGCUUUCCGGUCUUUUUUUGUUAUUUUUUUUUUAUUUAUCUCUUCUCCCUCACUGAAUCUUUUCUUCGUUUCCUCCUCAUUUCACCACAAAGAAAGGCCAUGACGCUCCUGCAUCUCCAGCCAUUAACGCCGGCAUUUCAUUUCUAAUCUUCUUCAAUUCUUUGUGUUCUUCUAAGGACCUUUGAGGUCUAAUAUGUUGGUGUUUAUUGGCGAGAGAUAUGAAGGACCUACAACCUGCAUGCCUUUGUAGAUUUGAAGGAUAAUCAAUUCUUGGUUGUUUUGAUUUUUCCUUUUUGAGAUAUGUAUUUUGUUGUUUUGAAACUAGGAGAAAAAGGUCUCAACCAUAUUUUUUUCAAGGAAAAUAGAUUUUAGCCAUGGUUUCAGCGUGGAUUUUUCUCUAAGUAGAAUUAAUCGUUUUUUUUUUAAUAUGUAUUUUGCUUUAUUAAGGCUAAAAUGGUAUGCUUGAUUUGAGGCUAAAAUCUUGUAUUCAGUUGCAAAAUAGAUCAUAAAAUUGAAUAUGUGAUUAGAAUUUGUUAUUAGCUCAUAAAAUUUUGUAUGCUUGAUUUGAAUC